AUGGUCCUAGCCUUUGACCUGGCCUUUGUCGUUCAUCCGUCUCAUUAUCCUAGCCGUGAACCUCCCACCCCACACCUCUCCAAAGCUCAAAACUGCUCCGCCGGCCAAAUGGUCCCGCUUCGGCGCCUUCCGGCGCUGCCGCUAACGCGUGGCUCCACGCGCCGCCGCCUCCUCGCCACCGGGGCCUCACCGCUCCCAUGGCCGGGCCUUCACACCUGGCGCCGGGCCCCUCCCAGCGACCUCCGCUCGUGGGGCCCCAGCGGCCCCUGCGCCCCGAACACGGACGAGGCGGGCGCGCCAGAAGCCGGCGCCGGAGCCGGCCACGGCUCGUCGCUGGCCGAGAUGGGCGCCCUCGUGCUGUCCACCGCCGCCCCCCUCGGCAAGGCGCACCUCACCCACGCCGCCUUCUCCCGGUGGGCGGCAGGCGGGCUCCCCGUGGGCCUUGCGCGGGCCCCCGACCACCCCGCCAGGCCGGAAAAGCCCCUCGCGGUGACUCAGAAGGAGGUCCCCACGCACAAGGCGAUGGGGGUGCCGCUAAACGCGUACAUGCUCCACAACCUGGCGCACGUGGAGCUCAAUGCCAUCGACCUUGCCUGGGAUACUGUGGUGCGGUUCUCGCCGCUCCGGGACACCCUGGGAGAUGGCUUCUUUGCCGAUUUUGCGCGUGUGGCCGACGACGAGAGCCGGCAUUUUCGGUGGUAUUCACAGCGGCUUGCCGAGCUUGGGUUCAGAUAUGGCGAUAUGCCUGUCCACAAUCUUCUGUGGAGGGAGUGUGCAAAAUCCUCAAGUGAUGUUUCUGCACGGAUGGCUGUUAUACCUCUAGUACAGGAAGCUAGAGGCCUUGAUGCUGGACCAAGACUAGUCCAGAAGUUAAUUGGCUUUGCGGAUCAUAGAUCUGCCGACAUUGUGGCAAAAGUAGCAGAGGAAGAGCUUGCACAUGUUUCUGUAGGUUUAUAUUGGUUCCUGAAAGUAUGCGAAAUGAUGGGCCGUGUCCCUGGUGCUGCUUUUAGAGACUUGAUAAAGGAGCAUGAUGUUGUAAUGAGGGGUCCAUUUAAUUACCAAUCUCGUGAUGAAGCUGGUAUACCUCGAGAAUGGUACGAUGAGACGCUUAAACCUGAAGUUGCAAGCAACCUUUCAGAGGUGCAUGAUAGGCUAGCAUGUGUUGUUGAGAUGGAGAGAGAGAAUGCUAGUUUGAAUGGCUAA
rnacentral:rRNA from 1 species